rnacentral:rRNA from 1 species
UACGUAGGGCGCAAGCGUUUGUCCGGAAUUAUUUGGGCGUAAAGAGCUCGUAGGCGGUCUGUCGCGUCUGCUGUGAAAACUCGGGGCUUAACCCCGGGCCUGCAGUGGGUACGGGCAGACUAGAGUGCGGUAGGGGAGACUGGAAUUCCUGGUGUAGCGGUGAAAUGCGCAGAUAUCAGGAGGAACACCGGUGGCGAAGGCGGGUCUCUGGGCCGUAACUGACGCUGAGGAGCGAAAGCAUGGGGAGCGAACAGG